rnacentral:tRNA from 3 species
GGAGAAGUGGGUGAGUGGCUGAAACCGGCACCCUGCUAAGGUGUUAUGUGGGGUAACCUGCAUCGAGGGUUCGAAUCCCUCCUUCUCCG